GUGGUCUGCCCGUGCAGCGACGAUUAUGCAUGCGUUCCUCUUCAAAUCUAGGCACAAGUGCAAUUUAGCCUUGGCCGAAACUCGGAUUUCCUGUGUUGGAUACCUACUAGAUGGAAUUUUCUCGUCGACUAUCGAAUGAUCGCCUAAUGCCACCCUCGUUGGUGGUUGCGAGUGAUCCACAAAGUGAGAUUUGUGAUCCUCGAUGCAGUGUACUCGUACUCGUUGCUGUCGAGGCCCACACUUCUUCGCUCGGACUGAGGGAUUCGGUAUAUGCUGUGGGCAUGGGUAUCCGUUGCCCUUAUUUGCCACACCAAACGAAAACAUCCAAACGACGUUCGAUGGUGUGCUGGCUCUAGGGCCACGCAUCUCGAUGUCUGCGAGGAAUGCUACCU
rnacentral:misc_RNA from 1 species